CUAUCCCAGCAUUAGACCUUUCUCUAAAGGCACAAAAAACACGCACUGUGUAAAAAAAGAAAAAUCCCUUCUUUCUGAAAACUACUAGACUGGAGUUUUGAAAAAGCAUCUUUGGCAAAGACUUUAGAUUUCUUCCGCUUAGAGCCACAGAAGAAAAAAGACCACUGCAUUGCCAUGAGGACAAGGGGAGGCAGAUGCAGAAAACAUGUAGACCACUUCCUUCCUGCCAAGGUCAUCGGCAGAGCUCUGCUUCUCCUUCCCAAACAGCUUUAACUGUUUUGCACGUUUGGAAGGUGGGGAGAGGGGAGGUGGCCGACAGGACAUCAUUUGAAAUGCUGUGGGGUUGCCUAUGGUGGCAUCUUUAACAGAGGAAAAAAGACUAAAGAAACAAAAGAAAACAGUGAAGAAGAAGAAGAAAAGAAACUCUAAAUAUUUGGAAAGAAAGCUAAGAACUGGGUGAGAUAAUGACAAAGUUUAUCCCAAGGAGAAAUUAACUGCAAAGUUAACAAAUAAGGACAGGUCUUUUAAUAGUUUAUUUGCAUUUGGUAUGCCACAAAGCCACAAGCUCGGAAAAUAAAUUUGCUUUUUGUAAUGAUCACAAAAAACAAA